ACUGUAAAUUACCGAUUUCACUGAACCAAUGUCGAUAGCUUGCCUUGCCCAUGUAUCAACCAUCUCAUUGCCAUUAAUGCCACAGUGGCUAGGAAUCCAACUCAGAACUAUGGUUAGACCCUUUGACUCACACCUGCGAAGUACGGUUUUGAUUUCUAAAAUCAAAGGGAACUUUAUUUUCAUUUUAAAUUGGUUGCCAAUAAUAGCCUGCAGGCAACUUUUACUAUCAGUAAAAAUAAUAGCUUUACUAAUGUUGUGUGUCUCUGCAUAUUUGACAGCCUCAAGGAUAGCAACUGCUUCGCCUGUAAAAAUUGAAGAUUGUGGAGGACAUUUAAAUGGGAGAGCUAUAUUGUAUCGAGGAAUCCACACUGCUGCUCCCACGCAACUGGUCGCAUCCAUCUUGGAAGCGUCAGUAAACAUCGUGACCUCCAGCGCCAGCGGCCACAAGCGUGGAAGCAUCAAGUGGCUAUAGUAUGAGCUGCUCUUGAUUAAGAAUCUGUCCGCAAGAUACUGUCUGCGGAGAGCCAGUGGAGGGUCAACACUUUCUACCUGCAUGCCAUUCUUCGGAGAACACCUCAUAGCGCCAAGUAUAAUCCUCAAGCAUUUUGCCUGGAUGAGGUCUAGUUUGUCAAGGCCAUCCUUAUUGCAAGGUUCCAUUAAAAGUGACCCAUAAUCUAUAUGACUGCGUAUGAUGGCAUUAUAUAGUAACUUCUGGUAAUAAGGAUGAGAACCCCACCACACCCCGGACAGUGCUCGUAACUCCUUACUCGGAAUUCUGACACCGUCAUAGUAUACAUCAGUUGUUGGCAUGUUCCUUCUGCGGCUAAAUGUAACAGUACAACUCUUUGUCGGAGAUAGAGUAAGCCCAUGGUCACCGAGCCAAUCCCCAAGGUAACCCAGAGCCGUGUUCAGACUAGCAGUUGCUUUAUCCA